CAGUCGCCGCGGUAAUACGUAGGGUGCAAGCGUUAAUCGGAAUUACUGGGCGUAAAGCGUGCGCAGGCGGUUGUGUAAGACAGGUGUGAAAUCCCCGGGCUCAACCUGGGAAUGGCAAUGGAUACUGGCAAGCUAGAGUGUGUCAGAGGAUGGUGGAAUUCCCGGUGUAGCGGUGAAAUGCGUAGAGAUCGGGAGGAACAUCAGUGGCGAAGGCGGCCAUCUGGGACAACACUGACGCUGAGGCACGAAAGCGUGGGGAGCAAACAGGAUUAGAUACCCCCGUAGUCCCUGUCUCUUAUAA
rnacentral:rRNA from 1 species